CGAUAGUGAACCAGUACCGUGAGGGAAAGGCGAAAAGAACCCCUGUGAGGGGAGUGAAAUAGAUCCUGAAACCGCAUGCAUACAAGCAGUGGGAGCCGACUUGUUCGGUGACUGCGUACCUUUUGUAUAAUGGGUCAGCGACUUACAUUCAGUAGCAAGGUUAACCGCAUAGGGGAGCCGUAGAGAAAUCGAGUCUUAAUAGGGCGUUUAGUUGCUGGGUGUAGACCCGAAACCGGGUGAUCUAUCCAUGAGCAGGUUGAAGGUUGGGUAACACUAACUGGAGGACCGAACCCACUGUCGUUGAAAAGCCAGGGGAUGACUUGUGGAUAGGGGUGAAAGGCUAAUCAAACUCGGUGAUAGCUGGUUCUCCCCGAAAGCUAUUUAGGUAGCGCCUCGGACGAAUACCAUUGGGGGUAGAGCACUGUUUCGGCUAGGGGGUCAUCCCGACUUACCAAACCGAUGCAAACUCCGAAUACCAAUGAGUACUAUCCGGGAGACAGACUGCGGGUGCUAACGUCCGUAGUCAAGAGGAAAACAAUCCAGACCGCCAGCUAAGGCCCCAAAAUUAUAGUUAAGUGGGAAACGAUGUGGGAAGGCAUAGACAGCUAGGAGGUUGGCUUAGAAGCAGCCACCCUUUAAAGAAAGCGUAAUAGCUCACUAGUCGAGUCGGCCUGCGCGGAAGAUGUAACGGGGCUAAAACUAUAUGCCGAAGCUGCGGAUUUGCAAUUUAUUGCAAGUGGUAGGGGAGCGUUCUGUAAGCCGAUGAAGGUGUAUUGAGAAGUAUGCUGGAGGUAUCAGAAGUGCGAAUGCUGACGUGAGUAACGACAAUGCGAGUGAAAAACUCGCACGCUGAAAGACCAAGGGUUCCAGUCCAACGUUAAUCGGGGCUGGGUGAGUCGACCCCUAAGGCGAGGCCGAGAGGCGUAGUCGAUGGGAAAUUGGUUAAUAUUCCAAUACUUCUAUGUAAUGCGAUGAGAGGACGGAGAAGGUUAAGUCAGCCUGGCGUUGGUUGUCCAGGUGGAAGGUUGUAGGCAUGUAUCUUAGGCAAAUCCGGGGUACUCUAUGCUGAGAACUGAUAGCAAGCUGUACUUGUACAGUGAAGUGGCUGAUACCAUGCUUCCAGGAAAAGUCUCUAAGCUUCAGUUACAUAGGAAUCGUACCCGAAACCGACACAGGUGGUCAGGUCGAGUAGACCAAAGCGCUUGAGAGAACUCUGCUGAAGGAACUAGGCAAAAUGGUACCGUAACUUCGGGAGAAGGUACGCUGCCGACGGUGAUGGGAUUUACUCCCUGAGCGGUUGGCAGCCACAGAAACCAGGCCCCUGCAACUGUUUAUUAAAAACAUAGCACUCUGCAAACACGAAAGUGGACGUAUAGGGUGUGAUGCCUGCCCGGUGCUGGAAGGUUAAUUGAUGGGGUUAGCGUAAGCGAAGCUCUUGAUCGAAGCCCCAGUAAACGGCGGCCGUAACUAUAACGGUCCUAAGGUAGCGAAAUUCCUUGUCGGGUAAGUUCCGACCUGCACGAAUGGCAUAAUGAUGGGGGCGCUGUCUCCAGCAGAGACUCAGUGAAAUCGAAUUCGCCGUGAAGAUGCGGUGUACCCGCGGCUAGACGGAAAGACC
rnacentral:rRNA from 1 species